rnacentral:rRNA from 1 species
UACAGAGGUCCCAAGCGUUGGUCGGAUUCAUUGGGCGUAAAGGGUGCGUAGGCGGCGCGGUAAGUCGGGUGUGAAAUCUCGGAGCUUAACUCCGAAACUGCAUUCGAUACUGCCGUGCUUGAGGACUGGAGAGGAGACUGGAAUUUACGGUGUAGCGGUGAAAUGCGUAGAUAUCGUAAGGAAGACCAGUGGCGAAGGCGGGUCUCUGGACAGUUCCUGACGCUGAGGCACGAAGGCCAGGGGAGCAAACGGG